rnacentral:misc_RNA from 1 species
GAUGAAGAACGUAGCGAAAUGCGAUACUUGGUGUGAAUUGCAGAAUCCCGUGAACCAUCGAGUCUUUGAACGCAAGUUGCGCCCGAAUCCAUCAGGUUGAGGGCACGUCUGCCUGGGCGUCACAUAUCGUUGCCCAAUGCCUAUUGCAGUGCAAUAGGAAUUUCUAGGGCGAAUGAUGGCUUCCCGUGAGCGUUGUUGCCUCGCGGUUGGUUGAAAAUCGAGUCCUUGGUAGGGUGUGCCAUGGUAGAUGGUGGUCGAGUUAGAACGAUACCGAUCAUGUGCAUGCUCCCCAAAAUAUGGCCUCUAUGACCCACACGCGUCUUUUGACGCUCAUGACGAGACCUCAGGUCAGGCGGGGCUACCCGCUGAAUUUAAGCAUAUCAAUAAGCGGAGGA